UACAGAGGUCCCAAGCGUUGUUCGGAUUCACUGGGCGUAAAGGGCGCGUAGGCGGCGGGGUAAGUCUGGUGUGAAAUCUCGGAGCUCAACUCCGAAACUGCACUGGAUACUGCUCUGCUAGAGGGCUGGAGAGGAGAUCGGAAUUCACGGUGUAGCAGUGAAAUGCGUAGAUAUCGUGAGGAAGACCAGUGGCGAAGGCGGAUCUCUGGACAGCUCCUGACGCUGAGGCGCGAAGGCUAGGGGAGCAAACGGG
rnacentral:rRNA from 1 species